rnacentral:rRNA from 1 species
AGUGAACGCUGGCGGCAGGCCUAAUACAUGCAAGUCGAACGGCAGCACAGCAGAGCUUGCUCUGUGGGUGGCGAGUGGCGGACGGGUGAGGAAUACAUGGGAAUCUGCCCAGUCGUGGGGGAUAACGUAUGGAAACGUACGCUAAUACCGCAUGCGCCCUACGGGGGAAAGCCGGGGACCGCAAGGCCUGGCGCGAUUGGAUGAGCCCAUGUUCGAUUAGCUAGUUGGCGGGGUAAAGGCCCACCAAGGCGACGAUCGAUAGCUGGUCUGAGAGGAUGAUCAGCCACACUGGAACUGAGACACGGUCCAGACUCCUACGGGAGGCAGCAGUGGGGAAUUUUGGACAAUGGGCGCAAGCCUGAUCCAGCCAUGCCGCGUGAGUGAAGAAGGC